GGAAAUUACAGGGUGCAAGAAUGAUUGACAGGGUGUGAGAUCAGAAUCUUCCUGGGCCUGGUUGGGUCAGAAUUCCUUGGGACAGUUGAUCAGCUGCCACUCUGGACCCGAGACAGGAAGGGGACAGGUGUUUGUGUGAAUCAUCUUGAAACCCAUUCAUCAAACAACUGGCCUUGAGGAUUUUCUAGCUGUGAGAAUUGCUUUGGAAAUGUAAAGUUAAAGGAAUUACACAAGAUCACAUUGGCAAUAUGAGACAGAGGAGAAGUCUGGAUCCACAUCUUUCUGAUUCAGGUGAACCAUCCACCAUCAACUUGUUAAUAAACAUCUACUAUGUGCCAGACGUGUGCUGGAGAGAUGCAAAGUUAAAAAGGAAACACAUAUUGUACUCAGAAAGAAGCCUGUCCCAGAGUAGGAGCUGUUUUUUGAUCUUCUAAAAAUAAAUUCUAUUUUCUGAAACACAAG